rnacentral:tRNA from 1 species
GUCUCAGUAGCUCAGGGGAUAGAGCACUGCUCUCCUAAAGCAGGUGUCGGAGGUUCGAAUCCUCUCUGGGACACCA